rnacentral:rRNA from 1 species
GACGAACGCUGGCGGCGUGCCUAAUACAUGCAAGUCGAACGAGAGCGCCCGGUGCUUGCACUGGUCAAUCUAGUGGCGAACGGGUGAGUAACACGUGGGUAACCUGCCCAUCAGAGGGGGAUAACAUCCGGAAACGGAUGCUAAAACCGCAUAGGUCUUCGAACCGCAUGGUUUGAAGAGGAAAAGAGGCGCAAGCUUCUGCUGAUGGAUGGACCCGCGGUGCAUUAGCUAGUUGGUGAGGUAACGGCUCACCAAGGCCGUGAUGCAUAGCCGACCUGAGAGGGUGAUCGGCCACAUUGGGACUGAGACACGGCCCAAACUCCUACGGGAGGCAGCAGUAGGGAAUCUUCCGCAAUGGACGCAAGUCUGACGGAGCAACGCCGCGUGAGUGAAGAAGGUUUUCGGAUCGUAAAACUCUGUUGUUAGAGAAGAACAAGUGCUAGAGUAACUGUUAGCGCCUUGACGGUAUCUAACCAGAAAGCCACGGCUAACUACGUG